CCCAUAUAAUCACCAAAGUUAAACAAUGUUGAGCCUGGUCAGUACCUAGAUGGGUGACCGUUUGGGAAUAUUUGGUGCUGUAAG